GGGUGUUUGGUUUUAGUGGUAUGAUUCUCGCUUUGUGUGUGAGAGGUUGUGAGCUUGAUUCUCGCAACACCCC
rnacentral:tRNA from 1 species